UACGUAGGGUCCGAGCGUUGUCCGGAAUUAUUGGGCGUAAAGAGCUCGUAGGCGGUUUGUUGCGUCGGCUGUGAAAUCCCGAGGCUCAACUUCGGGUCUGCAGUCGAUACGAGCAAACUAGAGUGUUUGCAGGGGGAGACUGGAAUUCCUGGUGUAGCGGUGAAAUGCGCAGAUAUCAGGAGGAACACCGGUGGCGAAGGCGGGUCUCUGGGCAACAACUGACGCUGGAGGAGCGAAAGCGUGGGGAGCGAACAGG
rnacentral:rRNA from 1 species